AAAGCAAAUCCAUUACGGUUUUUCCAUAUUGAACAACACCGUUGCAUUCUUAGCUAAUUACUCCAAUAGCUUGAUUUAUUAAUGUUAAUCACAGUCUGCAAAAAAAAAAAGGAGUCGAGCAAUAAUAUGAUUCAAGUGUAGCAAAUUUAAUUACAUAUAAUGAAUCUACACCAGCUCUAAAUUCCAAUAUGGUCUAAAAUAUCAAACAUAUUUAACAAGGUAUUUGUAGCAUUAAAUCCUAAGAAGAAAAUAUACAAAAGAGGAUAAAGGAAUGUAAUGGGAGAGAAUAUGGAGUAUAUGUUACUAAAUAACCUCCAGCUGAUACAACUGUAUAUGAGGACAAUUGGAAGUUAGUUACUACCUAACCGAGAUCUAUAAGAUCUCAGUGUAAGCAUUAUGAAAUUUCAAUAAAAACACCUUUACUUCUCUCCCUAUUUUUUAUUAUCUCUCUCUCUUCUAUUCUCUUUAAUGCCCUAUUUCUCUAUUAUUCAUCUUCUUUUUCUCUUUUCUAUCUCACUCUCCCCGUUAGAGCUAUAAUCUCUAAUAAUUGGUAUAAGAGCUAGUGCAUCCUAUGCUGGAUAAUUGUUAUUUGAAGUCUAAAACAUGGCCCGAUCUACAAUGGUAAGUCAGGAGAUGAUGAGGAUCGUAGAAUUGGAAUAAUAUAUUAGAAUGUUGUAGGAAACAACCCAAUAAAGUAGCGAGGAGUUGAGAGACCUUAAAGAGGAAGUAAAAAAGAAUUAUAAAGAUACCAAUGAAAUUCUGGAAGAGUUGCGCACCUUGAUGAUCAGGCAUGUGGUGGAUAAAGGCAAGGAGAUAAUUCCAGUGAAGGGCAAAAUAGAGCAGAAAACAGAGUUCAUCAAUCUGUCUCUAUUAAUUCAAAAGAGGCCCAUACUGCUCAAGCUAAGUAUAAAUGUAUUUUAGGUACUACUUCCAACCUCUCUCUCAUUAAUGAUGUAACUCAGAUACUUCCUAAAAAAUUGAGUUAGCCACUUUUUAUGGGAAGGAACAAAGAGUUUGGUUAAGAAAGUGUGUGAUAUUUCAAAAUUUAUAGAGUUCCUUGUGAACAGAGGGUGCCAUUAGCUAGUUUGUUUUUUAUGGAUAAGGCAGAUGCUUGAUUCCAUAAUUGGAAUAGAGAUAAGGAACAUGUUUAGGAAGAGUUUGAGAGGGGAAUAUGUAAUAGAUUUGGAGACUGGACAAUGGGUUGGAAGACAUAGUAAAGGGAUUUAUGAAACUGAGACAAGAGAGUUCUAUAGAGGAAUACGAAGAUGAGUUUGAGGAUAUGGAAACCAAAUUGGAAAGGUUAAUGCCUGAACUAGGGGAGUCUUAUUUUCUUUCAGGAUUCAUUGGAGGGUUAAAGAAUGAGAUUAGGUUGAUGGUGAAGAUGAUGAAGCCUGUCUCCUUAUCUGAGGCAGUGGAGGUUGUAAAGUUACUAGAGUAGUUGUUAAUGAAAAGUCAACCAAAAGGGGGAAGUUCUAUUACCUACAAAUCCUUACAAAAUUUCUAUCCAAAUACUG
rnacentral:lncRNA from 1 species